rnacentral:lncRNA from 1 species
UUGAGUGCACAUUUGCAAUUUGCAAGCUUGUUUGAAGUCCACUACAUAGACACAUGAUAGAAAAGAAGGACAUAUUGAAAAAUUAAAGGGAUGUAACUUUAGUUGGAUGUAUGGAUUGAUCUAUAGAUUUUGAUAUAGUGCACAUAAAUCUUGUCGAAGUAAUUGGAUUAUCAAUUGAAGCUAGUAUAGAAGACUAUAUAAUAAGGUGUGGCAUCUACUCUUCUGAAGAAUUAAGGUCCCAUCUCCAUUUAUAAAUUAAAAUAAACUCCUUUUAGCUGGAAAUUUAAUCCAAUU